UACGUGAAACCGUUCAGGGGUAAACCUGAGAAACCCAAAAGAUCGAAGGGGGAGAUUCACCGUCAGCGGCUCACAGAGUCGGCUUCCUCGCGGCGCGCGAUUGUCGGGGCCUCGGCCACGCGCACAUCGCCGUCGCGGGGUUAUGUCCGGCGCCGCCGGCGUGCACUUCUCCCCUUGUAGAACGUCGCGACCCGCUGGGUGUCGGCCUACGGCGCGGUGUUGGUUGCCUGCGGCGCGUUGCUUCACGGCGCGCGUCCAGACCCCCGCUCGCCCGGCCGGCUGCCCGGCGGUACACGCACGGUAUAGGGUCGCACACUGCCAGAUGUGCGUCGGGCCCGUCGCAAGCGCGGCCAGUGAUACUCGGUGUUGCGGAAAUCAAAGCCGUCCCCGAGCCUGGUUAGCUGUUGGUUAUAGACGGUGUCCUCCGACAGGCCCGCCCGUUUAAAUGCACGGGCGCGAAUUACCGGUCAGCGACGCUACUGCUUUGGGUACUUUCAGGACCCGUCUUGAAACACGGACCAAGGAGUCUAACAUGUGCGCGAGUCAUUGGGACGAACAAACCUAAAGGCGCAAUGAAAGUGAAGGUCGACCUCGCGUCGACGGAGGGAGGAUGGGUCGCGUCGCGGCGCGGCCCCGCACUCCCGGGGCGUCUCGCACUCAUUGCGAGCGGAGGCGCACCCAGAGCGUACACGUUGGGACCCGAAAGAUGGUGAACUAUGCCUGGUCAGGACGAAGUCAGGGGAAACCCUGAUGGAGGUCCGUAGCGAUUCUGACGUGCAAAUCGAUCGUCGGAACUGGGUAUAGGGGCGAAAGACUAAUCGAACCAUC
rnacentral:rRNA from 1 species